rnacentral:rRNA from 1 species
GACGAACGCUGGCGGCGUGCUUAACACAUGCAAGUCGUACGGUAAGGCCCUUUCGGGGGUACACGAGUGGCGAACGGGUGAGUAACACGUGAGUAACCUGCCCACAACUUUGGGAUAACGCUAGGAGACUGGUGCUAAUACUGGAUAUGUGCUCCUGCUGCAUGGUGGGGGUUGGAAAGCUCCGGCGGUUGUGGAUGGACUCGCGGCCUAUCAGCUUGUUGGUGGGGUAGUGGCCUACCAAGGCGGCGACGGGUAGCCGGCCUGAGAGGGUGACCGGCCACAUUGGGACUGAGAUACGGCCCAGACUCCUACGGGAGGCAGCAGUGGGGAAUAUUGCACAAUGGGCGCAAGCCUGAUGCAGCAACGCCGCGUGCGGGAUGACGGCCUUCGGGUUGUAAACCGCUUUCAGCAGGGACGAAGCUUUUUGUGACGGUACCUGCAGAAGAAGCACCGGCUAACUACGUG